UCCAAUCCAGCUGUUUAUUUCAUUAUGUCCAGCCCCACCCUUUACAAAGAUUCUGGCAUUUCUUUCCACUUCAGACGUGAUUCUCAGGACAAAAAAGAAGAAAAGGCACAAUGCUAAGGGGAAUGGUCAUCGCUCUGUGCCUACUUUUCAUCCCUAUCGAUGCAGCGUUAACCAGAGAGCAAGGAAACUAUGGCUAUUUUGAUAUUUGCAGCAUCAACGUCACCACUGCCAGGUUGAAUUGUUAUUAUGCAGCAUGCGAUCCCUCCCCAACCUUCAGCUGUGAACUCUUCUCGAAUGGGAAUUUCCUUGGAAAAGCAACUGACAAAUCUUGUGAAUAUUUCACUGUCCCACGGCCAGCUACUAAAACGACUUACACCUGUAUAUUAGAAA